UACGUAGGGGGCAAGCGUUGUCCGGAAUUAUUGGGCGUAAAGGGCGCGUAGGCGGAUAGUUAAGUCCGGUGUGAAAGAUCAGGGCUCAACCCUGAGAGUGCAUCGGAAACUGGUUAUCUUGAGGACAGGAGAGGAAAGUGGAAUUCCACGUGUAGCGGUGAAAUGCGUAGAUAUGUGGAGGAACACCAGUGGCGAAGGCGACUUUUCUGGACUGUAACUGACGCUGAGGCGCGAAAGGCGUGGGGAGCAAACAGG
rnacentral:rRNA from 1 species